rnacentral:sRNA from 1 species
AGAACGGAUGCGUAAUCGCUCAAUAAUCACUGCGUAAUACAAAGCCUCUGUAGGCCACGGGGUCAAAAAAAAAAACGGAGAAAAACCUCUGUGGCGGCGCAAACAGUGGUCAAACCCAGCUAUGAUACAUGAUACAUGAUACAUGAUACAUGGCGGUGGGUCCCGCUCCACGUGAUAUUCCUGAUUUCAAGGCUGGGGAACAAGGAGGAAAAACAUACGCAGUCAAGGCAGGAAAGGCAGGAAAGUCUCCACCCGGCUGGCACCUUGCGUCUGAUCCCUUGCAGAUCGGCGGCAUUAAUAAGACAGUCUGGGCCCAGCGGAGG